GACGAACGCUGGCGGCGUGCUUAACACAUGCAAGUCGAACGGAAAGGCCCUGCUUUUGUGGGGUGCUCGAGUGGCGAACGGGUGAGUAACACGUGAGUAACCUGCCCUUGACUUUGGGAUAACUUCAGGAAACUGGGGCUAAUACCGGAUAGGAGCUCCUGCUGCAUGGUGGGGGUUGGAAAGUUUCGGCGGUUGGGGAUGGACUCGCGGCUUAUCAGCUUGUUGGUGGGGUAGUGGCUUACCAAGGCUUUGACGGGUAGCCGGCCUGGGAGGGUGACCGGCCACAUUGGGACUGAGGUACGGCCCAGACUCCUACGGGAGGCAACAGUGGGGAAUAUUGCACAAUGGGCGGGAGCCUGAUGCGACAACGCCGCGUGCGGGAUGACGGCCUUCGGGUUGUAAACCGCUUUCGCCUGUGACGAAGCGUGAGUGACGGUAAUGGGUAAAGAAGCACCGGCUAACUACGUG
rnacentral:rRNA from 1 species